GGAAGUAAAAGUCUAACAAGGUUUCCGUAGGUGAACCUGCGGAAGGAUCAUUAAAGAAUCGCCCCGUUUUUUAUAAAUGGGUUCUAUUCCCAAACCGUGUAUACAUACCUUUGUUGCUUUGGCAGGCCGCCUCCGGGCGUCGGCUCCGGCUGAUAGUGCCUGCCAGAGGACCCAAACUCUGUGUUUAGAGAUGUCUGAGUACUAUAUAAUAGUUAAAACUUUCAACAACGGAUCUCUUGGUUCUG
rnacentral:misc_RNA from 1 species